AUGGGUGCCACCGCCAGCCAUCCGUCGCCGAGGGACGAAAUGCCGCUCCACGUGAGGAUCUCCGACUACUCCAACUUGGUGCGGGUGCCUCUGCUUCACCGGGAGACUGUCCGCACAUUCUCCUUCGGUGGCAUCUUGUGGAUAAUCACAGUGGAACCGAAGCAAUUUAACGAGGGUCUAGCAGAUCGCAUCCAUGUCUGGGUCGACCUCCACUCCCGGUUCAGGUACAAACCAGACUUGGUGCUCCAAGGUAUCGACAUCUCCAUGGAAGUCCUGGACGUGACCGGCGAGAACACCGUCUUCCACGAGGAGACCAAUGGGAUGCUGGAAUCCGAUAGGGUCUUGAUUAUGGUCCUGUACAGGAGGGAGCUGGAGGCAUCGUCCUGUGUCCGCGACGACACCUUCACCCUCAGGUGCACUCUGACGAAGCAGCAGGCAACUUGGUGGCGCGUCUUCUCCAAACCUAACGAGCCCGCGUCCUUGGAGCCGCAGGUCGCCAUGGCCGGAUCCAACAUGCUCACCAUCGGCAGCUUCUACAAGCUCAAGGCCACGCUCCGGGGCGGGGAGUGCACCUACUCCACGCACUUCGCCGUGGGAGGGUGCAGAUGGUACUUCCAAUUCAGCCCCACUGGGGUAAUUAGCCUCGUCCGCGCGAGUAAGGGCACGGCGCCGACAACAGCGGAGUUCAGUUUUGAGCUCGAGGGGGUGGUCAAUUUGGAGUCUGAAAAGAUGACUCACACGUUCAACCAUGCCAACUCUAGAUACUUUUAUAGAUGCAGGCUGGAGCCAAGCACGUCGGCCAUGGAUGACCACCUCAUUGUUCGGUGCCGCCUCACCAUUAUAAUGGUGGAGAGGCUAAGCUUACCCCAUGCCACUAUUGCGGUUGAGAAGAUUCCACGAAAAAUAAUGGUGGAGAAGCCGAGCUUGCCCGUGGACAAGAUUCCUCAAAAAAUAACGGUGGAGAAGCCGAGCUUGCCCCCUGCCGCGAUUCGGAUCACCGCCACCCCGCACACCGAAUCAGUACAAACUCCUCUAUUGAGCGCCAUGUAUGACUGA
rnacentral:rRNA from 1 species